rnacentral:lncRNA from 12 species
CGUGCUUACAACACAGAAAUCCAGUGCUGCCAGUGAUGCUCUGACAGUGGAUAUGAGAGUGGGAAUUACUAGAGCUGAAAUGUUCAAUGAGACUAAGAAGAGACCCAUAUAAUUUGAAGUUCACAAUGACAGCAAUCAACAAACCAACAAGUUAUAGAUGAAGAACUGUUCUGUGGUAAGUAAACUGAAGCUUUCAUACUUUGUGCUUCU